rnacentral:rRNA from 1 species
CCUACGGGAGGCAGCAGUGGGGAAUUUUGGACAAUGGGGGCAACCCUGAUCCAGCCAUGCCGCGUGAGUGAAGAAGGCCUUCGGGUUGUAAAGCUCUUUCGGCCGGAACGAAAUCGCGCACGUGAAUAACGUGCGUGGAUGACGGUACCGGAGUAAGAAGCACCGGCUAACUACGUGCCAGCAGCCGCGGUAAUACGUAGGGUGCGAGCGUUAAUCGGAAUUACUGGGCGUAAAGCGUGCGCAGGCGGUUCGCUAAGUCAGACGUGAAAGCCCCGGGCUUAACCUGGGAACGGCGUUUGAAACUGGCGGGACUCGAGUACGGCAGAGGGGGGUGGAAUUCCACGUGUAGCAGUGAAAUGCGUAGAUAUGUGGAGGAACACCGAUGGCGAAGGCAGCCCCCUGGGCCGAUACUGACGCUCAUGCACGAAAGCGUGGGGAGCAAACAGGAUUAGAUACCCUGGUAGUCCACGCCCUAAACUAUGUCAACUAGUUGUCGGGGAAACNCAAUUCCGUUGGUAAACCGCGAGCUACGUACGUGUAGUGUACCGCCGUCGGGAGGUACGGUCGCGAGAAGUUAAACGUUAAACGGUAAAGUUAGUACGGUUCGUUGUAGACGUUGCCGACGGACGACGACGAGGGAGGAGG